rnacentral:rRNA from 1 species
GACGAACGCUGGCGGCGUGCCUAAUACAUGCCAGUAGAACGCACAGUUUAUACCGUAGCUUGCUACACCAUAGACUGUGAGUUGCGAACGGGUGAGUAACGCGUAGGUAACCUGCCUGGUAGCGGGGGAUAACUAUUGGAAACGAUAGCUAAUACCGCAUAAUAUUGAUUAUUGCAUGAUAAUUGAUUGAAAGAUGCUAUUGCAUCACUACCAGAUGGACCUGCGUUGUAUUAGCUAGUAGGUGAGGUAACGGCUCACCUAGGCGACGAUACAUAGCCGACCUGAGAGGGUGAUCGGCCACACUGGGACUGAGACACGGCCCAGACUCCUACGGGAGGCAGCAGUAGGGAAUCUUCGGCAAUGGACGAAAGUCUGACCGAGCAACGCCGCGUGAGGGAAGAAGGUUUUCGGAUCGUAAAGCUCCGUUGUAAGAGAAGAACGGGUGUGAGAGUGGAAAGUUCACACUGUGACGGUAUCUUACCAGAAAGGGACGGCUAACUACGUG